UGUAUAUUGUCCUCUCUCUCUCUCUCUCUCUAUAUAUAUAUAUGUAUGUGUGUGUGUGUGUGUGUGUGUGUAUAUGAAUCUCACAAAGACCGUUAAUGGAGAAAACUUGUGCCUGUCUUUGCAGGGGGCUGCAGAUUAUAGUAUUCAAAUGAAAUGCCAUGGGCAAGGUGGCUUCAUUUAUCUGCGUUUGCACCUGCACCUCUAAUUUGGUCUCUGCAGUGGGUUUUUCCUCACUAUCAUCAUCACAUGCACUGCACUGAUGUCUGAUGAUGAUGAACUCACUCGCUCCCUCAGGGAUCCAUGUAAAGGUGCAGGUGUAACUGCAGACAAAUGCCUUCUUGGUUCUCUCGGCUCUCAUUAAGUGUUGGAAACAAUGGAGACACGUAUUUAUAAGGAAUUUUUUGUGCAGGACGAUAGUCUUUUGUUAAAUGAUAAAUUUUGUAUCAAUAACACAUCAAUAUAUAUGUUUUAUUAUUAGCAUGUUAUCUAUAAUUCUAUUGACGCUUUACCUACGGUUUGUUUUUAACUAAGAACGGACAUGAUGUUUAGAGAAGAACUCCCCUUUUGUGUAUCUGAUGAAAUGCGACAAACUUAUUAGUGGACUGAA